GAAUUGGAUAGACCGUGGAAAGGGACACAAAUGCCUUGUGAGGCUGCGGACCGCCAGCUCUUUCAGUCCUGCACCAAAAUUUCCGUGGGAAGUGGAGUAAGGACUGCUUUCUGGUCUGAUCAAUGGAUAGAUGGGAUGGCACCUAUGGAGCUGGCUCCUGGUCUCUUUAACCUUGCAAGACACAAGCAAAUCUCAGUUGCGGAUGCUAUCUGGGAGGGCGGUUGGAUGAAAGGUCUACAGCGCAUGACCACUGUUGAUCUGCUGCAUUCCUUUGUCACUCUUUGGCAUAAAGUUCAACAAUUCCAAGCGAACGAGGAGGAUGACAAGAUUACUUGGAAUCUCACGGCCAAUGGAGACUACUCUGCCAAGUCGGCCUAUGAACAACUAUUCAUUGCUCGGAUCCCAAUGCCACGUUUGCUCAAAAUGUGGAAGAUUAAAUGUGAAUCAAAAGUUAAAAUUUUCAUUUGGACUUUAAUCCAGAAUAGGCUUUGGACGGCUGAUCGCUUGCAACGCAGAGGUUGGGAACAUCAGGCCACUUGCUAUGCCUGUGAUCAGGUCCUGGAGUCAGCUACCCACCUCAUUUUGGGAUGUACUUUUGCUAAGGAGGUCUAG
rnacentral:rRNA from 1 species